rnacentral:piRNA from 1 species
GUUUUUGUUCAAGUGGGAACUUG